rnacentral:rRNA from 1 species
CCUACGGGGGGCAGCAGUGAGGAAUAUUGGUCAAUGGACGAGAGUCUGAACCAGCAAAGUAGCGUGAAGGAUGACUGCCCUAUGGGUUGUAAACUUCUUUUAUAUGGGAAUAAAUUGUUCUACGUGUGGGAUUUUGUAUGUACCAUAUGAAUAAGGAUCAGCUAACUCCGUGCCAGCAGCCGCGGUAAUACGGAGGAUCCGAGCGUUAUCCGGAUUUAUUGGGUUUAAAGGGAGCGUAGAUGGGUUGUUAAGUCAGUUGUGAAAGUUUGCGGCUCAACCGUAAAAGUGCAAUUGAUACUGGCAUCCUUGAGUACAGGUGAGGUAGGCGGAAUGCGUGGUGUAGCGGUGAAAUGCGUAGAGAUCACGAAGAACUCCGAUUGCGAAGGCAGCAUACUAAACUGCCACUGACGUUGAUGCUCGAAAGUGUGGGUAGCAAACAGGAUUAGAUACCCGUGUAGUC